AACGCGAAGAACCUUACCUAGGUUUGACAUCCUUUGACAACUACAGAGAUGUAGCUUUCGUAGCAAUACGACAAAGAGACAGGUGCUGCAUGGCUGUCGUCAGCUCGUGUGGUGGCAUGUCGGGUUAAGUCCCUCAACGAGCGCAACCCCUGUGUUUAGUUGCCAGCAUUAAGUUGGGCACUCUAGACAGACUGCCGUGGUUAACACGGAGGAAGGCGGGGAUGACGUCAAGUCCUCAUGGCCCUUACACCUAGGGCGACACACGUAAUACAAUGGUCGACACAAAGGGACGCGAAAUGGUGACAUGGAGCAAAUCUCAAAAAGUCGAUCUCAGUUCGGAUUGGAGUCUGCAACUCGACUCCAUGAAGGCGGAAUCGCUAGUAAUCGCGGAUCAGCACGCCGCGGUGAAUACGUUCCCGGGCCUUGUCACACCGGUAUCUC
rnacentral:rRNA from 1 species